rnacentral:rRNA from 1 species
ACGAACGCUGGCGGCGUGGAUAAGACAUGCAAGUCGAACGGGAGAAUUGCUAGCUUGCUAAUAAUUCUCUAGUGGCGCACGGGUGAGUAACACGUGAGUAACCUGCCUCUUAGUGGGGGAUAGCCCUGGGAAACCGGGAUUAAUACCGCAUACGAUUGAAAGAUCAAAGCAGCAAUGCGCUAGGAGAUGGGCUCGCGGCCUAUUAGUUAGUUGGUGAGGUAACGGCUCACCAAGGCGAUGACGGGUAGCCGGUCUGAGAGGAUGUCCGGCCACACUGGAACUGAGACACGGUCCAGACACCUACGGGUGGCAGCAGUCGAGAAUCAUUCACAAUGGGGGCAACCCUGAUGGUGCGACGCCGCGUGGGGGAAUGAAGGUCUUCGGAUUGUAAACCCCUGUCAUGUGGGAGCAAAUUAAAAAGAUAGUACCACAAGAGGAAGAGACGGCUAACUCUGUGCCAGCAGCCGCGGUAAUACAGAGGUCUCAAGCGUUGUUCGGAAUCACUGGGCGUAAAGCGUGCGUAGGCUGUUUCGUAAGUCGUGUGUGAAAGGCAGGGGCUCAACCCCUGGAUUGCACAUGAUACUGCGAGACUAGAGUAAUGGAGGGGGAACCGGAAUUCUCGGUGUAGCAGUGAAAUGCGUAGAUAUCGAGAGGAACACUCGUGGCGAAGGCGGGUUCCUGGACAUUAACUGACGCUGAGGCACGAAGGCCAGGGGAGCGAAAGGGAUUAGAUACCCCUGUAGUCCUGGCAGUAAACGGUGCACGCUUGGUGUGCGGGGAAUCGACCCCCUGCGUGCCGGAGCUAACGCGUUAAGCGUGCCGCCUGGGGAGUACGGUCGCGAGAUUAAAACUCAAAGAAAUUGACGGGGACCCGCACAAGCGGUGGAGUAUGUGGCUUAAUUCGAUGCAACGCGAAGAACCUUACCUGGGCUUGACAUGUAAUGAACAACAUGUGAAAGCAUGCGACUCUUCGGAGGCGUUACACAGGUGCUGCAUGGCCGUCGUCAGCUCGUGUCGUGAGAUGUUUGGUUAAGUCCAGCAACGAGCGCAACCCCUGUUGCCAGUUACCAGCACGUCAAGGUGGGGACUCUGGCGAGACUGCCCAGAUCAACUGGGAGGAAGGUGGGGACGACGUCAGGUCAGUAUGGCCCUUAUGCCCAGGGCUGCACACGUACUACAAUGCCCAGUACAGAGGGGGCCGAAGCCGCGAGGCGGAGGAAAUCCUGAAAACUGGGCCCAGUUCGGACUGUAGGCUGCAACCCGCCUACACGAAGCCGGAAUCGCUAGUAAUGGCGCAUCAGCUACGGCGCCGUGAAUACGUUCCCGGGUCUUGUACACACCGCCCGUCACAUCAUGGAAGCCGGUCGCACCCGAAGUAUCUGAAGCCAACCGCAAGGAGGCAGGGUCCUAAGGUGAGACUGGUAACUGGGAUG